CCUAACCCAAAGUUUCAAGACAUGGCAGUUGGAUAUGUCGAAUUAUGUUGUGCAUGUGAUAGUCUACUUUUUCUUUGUUAUAGUGCUGAUUGAGGGAGACCUUUGACCGAAUUGGUAGGCGGUGUGCUACAGGAAACAGCGAUCGCUAAUGAAUACAGCCAAAAACAUGCUUGAAUGGCAUCGGACCAGCGUGAAACUUAUUGAAAGUACAGAUCAGUAGGCGGUGUCUCCAACAAGAAACAGAGUGAGCGCUAAUGAAUACAACCAAAACGUGCUUGAAUGGCAUUGAACCAACGCUAAACUUAGCCAAAGUAUAGUUCAGAAUCGUUCAUCGUCAAAACUGGCAUAGCUGUAAGAUGGUCGCCGAUUGCUUCAGGAAAAGUGUCUACUGGUGUUAAAUGAGCAAGUAUGGGCGGGCAUCAAUCACUUCCUUCCAGCUAGUCGUCUGGUCAUUCAGAAAGGCAUCACUGUAACUCUCGCUGCGUUUCGACCAUGGAUGUACAUUGCAUGUAAGCUUGCUUACUUGUGCUGCAAUGUCACAUUAAAUUUAAA